GACGAACGCUGGCGGCGUGCUUAACACAUGCAAGUCGAGCGGAAAGGCCCUUUCGGGGGUACUCGAGCGGCGAACGGGUGAGUAACACGUGAGUAAUCUGCCCUUCACUUUGGGAUAACCCCCGGAAACGGGAGCUAAUACCGGAUAUGACCGGCAACCGCAUGGUUUGUUGGUGGAAACUUUUUUGGGUGGGGGAUGUGCUCGCGGCCUAUCAGCUUGUUGGUGGGGUAAUGGCCUACCAAGGCUUUGACGGGUAGCCGGCCUGAGAGGGUGACCGGCCACACUGGGACUGAGACACGGCCCAGACUCCUACGGGAGGCAGCAGUGGGGAAUAUUGGACAAUGGGCGGAAGCCUGAUUCAGCAACGCCGCGUGAGGGAUGACGGCCUUCGGGUUGUAAACCUCUUUCAGCACCGACGAAGCGUGAGUGACGGUAGGUGCAGAAGAAGGACCGGCCAACUACGUGCCAGCAGCCGCGGUAAUAC
rnacentral:rRNA from 1 species